rnacentral:rRNA from 1 species
UGGGGAAUUUUGGACAAUGGGCGAAAGCCUGAUCCAGCCAUGCCGCGUGAGUGAAGAAGGCCUUCGGGUUGUAAAGCUCUUUUAGUCGGAAAGAAAGAGUUGCAAUGAAUAAUUGUGAUUUAUGACGGUACCGACAGAAAAAGCACCGGCUAACUACGUGCCAGCAGCCGCGGUAAUACGUAGGGUGCGAGCGUUAAUCGGAAUUACUGGGCGUAAAGGGUGCGCAGGCAGUCUUGCAAGUCAGAUGUGAAAGCCCCGGGCUUAACCUGGGAAUUGCGUUUGAAACUACAAGACUAGAGUGCAGCAGAGGUGAGUGGAAUUCCAUGUGUAGCAGUGAAAUGCGUAGAGAUGUGGAAGAACACCGAUGGCGAAGGCAGCUCCCUGGGUUGACACUGACGCUCAUGCACGAAAGCGUGGGGAGCAAACA